AGCGUAAAAGCUGAUCUUGAUUUUGUUUAUUUUUUUGUUAGAUAUUAAAAACAUGUCGAAUAGAUGCUUUAAUUAAAAUGUAAUUGUUAUUAAUUUACAAAGUAAUUUGCCUGACAUGCAAUACCUGAUAUUAAGGUGCAGUCACAUUUGGCGAAGGCAGUUUUGGCAAGCAAAAAUGUAGUUUUAAUAGGAAUCCAAUCAAGAAUUUAGCAUUUUGAGAGGGCAAAAUAUUUCCCAUGCAGUUUUCGCUACGGGUUCAAGUUGGUUGCGGAAAUUCGUCACAUUGAACAACCGAAAGCGGCUAGAUUUGAAAGUGACUUUUGUGUGACCUGUGGUUCAUGUAUCGCUACACUAUUGACAAUACACAAUGGACCUUUUGUCCAUGAAAUUGUGACUGCACCAUAACACUGUUACUCUGCAAAAAAAAAAAAGCAUCCACUUUUGUGUUGUGCAGUGAUAAUGUGAAUGCAUAUUUCACAAUAUUACUGUGGCUGUUUAUAUCGCUAGGCGUUAAUGUCUUCUAGGCCAGGACCAUAACUGUUAUAUUAUGUAAAAGAUGGCACAAAAAACACUUAUUUUGUAAUAAUACUUUUUUUCAUGUAAAAAUUCUUAGCAUAAUAUUUGCUCCGAUGUUUGGAAUUGGCUUUAAUGGAAUAGAUUGCCAAGGGCAUUAGAUAUUCAAAUCACUGCACGAAACCCAGUUACAUUUAAAGAUACUUAUUAUCAAGGAUUCACCUUGUACAGCUUCAAUGGUCAAAUUCAGUCCCAGAAUUCCUCUGUGAGAUACUUACUCCAUAAGUCUUAAGAAAUUUCCAUUUAAGUUGAGAAGCGAGCAGCUGCAUGGAGAGUAACCUUUCCUGUGUGUACAGCUUAGCUGUUUAAAUCUUUCUGUACAACAAGUGGGCUGAAAAAAACGACAUGGAUAUAACCAGUAAAAUAAGUAGAAUUACCGUUUUUACUUUCCUUAACUCAAAUGUUAAGGGUUUAUUCCAUUUCAUUUCUCAUAUUUUUUUCAAAAUUUUAGAUUUAAAAAUUAAAGCAUUGUUGGAGAUAUUUUAAAAUCUCACUUGCGAGGUAGAUUUCGUCAAGAAUGAGAGAUAUUGUUAUGGAUAUGAGGGUGGUUGGUAAGCCCCUCUUAUUGUAUAGGUAGGUGAGGGUUGUGGUAAGGCCCUCUGUUAACUGAUAAAAAUGAGGGUGGAUGGUAAGGCCCUCGUGUUGGGUAGGUGCCUUGAGGGUGUUUGGUAAGCCCCUCUAGUUUGGUAUGGUAGUCUGAGGGUUGUUGGUAAGGCCCUCUAGUUGAGAUGUAAGGAGAGGUGUGUGCGAAAGUACUUGAGGGUUUGAUGGUAAGGCCCUCAAAAUAGGUUUCAACUGAACGUCAUCGACAGUGCAGACCAGAGUAGCUUCGUGGAUUUCAUCGUAUCACUUGUUGACGGAUUGGAUCCCUUAUUCCUUGAUUCAAGGUUGUCCAGUUUUGGUUAAAAAAAAUAAUAAAAUUGAGUAUCAAAUACACUGAAGGACAUUUUGAUUCAAGGCAGCUGGAAUCACCAGGCUACGUUUCCGUGGGGUUUUCCAUCAAGGACUUCAUCCUUGGCCAGGUGUUAUGGUAAGAUAGCAUCUCCAGGUAAUGUGGUAACACUGAGAUAAUGACUAAAUACUUAAGGGCUUAGACUUUUACCUUAGACCAGCAGAAGGAAAAGGGCCUAAAGGUAUUGGCCAUAUUGAAGUGUGAGAAUUUUGUAACCUAUUUAAAAGCUGUUGUUCUAGUAUAUCUCAUAUUUAUAAUCUAAAAGUAAAGCUCUGCAAAAUGUUUUAUUUUUUCCCCUUUGGUUUGUCGUGACGUGUGUGUGAAUGGUGCUUUGAUGCUUAUAGAAAUUGUGUAUGAGUGUGAAUGAAUGUGUAAGAUUUUGGAGAAUGGAGAGUGUGGCUUUUAGCUUAAUUGUAUUCACUAAGUGCCUUUUUUCUUAUUGUUGCUUUAAGAUUUAAUGAGAAUAAAACUGUUAAUGGGUAAUUAUUGUGGAUUACCCUAAAUUUGGAGAUGAUCUGUGUGGUCCAAGCUGUUGACUGCAAUGCUUCCUUGUUUUUGUGAUUUACCUUGAACUGCCUCGAUUUAUAUUUGCAUCACUUAAGUUCUGUAGCACUCAAAUGUUCCUUCAUAUUUCUUUUUGAACAUCAGAGAGAUUUUUUUUCAGAAUUUUACUAAGCUUUUCAAAGCACAUGCUUUAGUUUCUUUGAACUUUGUCAAAUGGUGUCUG